rnacentral:rRNA from 1 species
GAGUAACUAUGACUCUCUUAAGGUAGCCAAAUGCCUCGUCAUCAUACACUACUGUCGCUAUCAAUACGUUAUACAGUCUGGAAAGUACCCGAACCUUUGAGGAAGAACUGCGCAAAACCGGUCACGAAACCACUUUGCAGCUGGGACCAAACCUUGUUCCUUCCCCGUGGGGGGUCGGCCACUUUUAUUGCCUUCCAAGGCUUUAAGGCGGAGUCACAGGGGGAGAGAAGGCCGCAUAGUGAGAAAUGGAUGGGGAGUUCCCGUAUGGGUCACUUAGCUUUGGGGAUUACCCCGCUCCCUUAGCUCGGAGACUCGGGUUUUCCCCGUCUGAAUCGCAUCCAAUUGCAAGGAGCGGAGGGGCGGCUUCGGCCGUUCAACCGUGACAUGCAGCCAAGCCAUCCCCCCGGUCUCGGUCGGGGGGGAGGAAGGUCCAGAGACUAAAAGGUGCGGGCGGCCAGGGGGAGAAAUCCCCUCGGUUGCUUAGUGAUAGUCCAUCGACAAGGCCUGCGAGAAGCUGGAGGCGAGUAGCUUGCAGUUGGUUUUUGCCCCUAAAAAGGCGGGAUCUUCGAGCAUUGGCUAGAGGCUUCGCGUGCUGGGUAACAGGCCGACUACCAGAUGUUAAUUUGUGACGCGCAUGAAUGGAUUAAUGAGAUUCCCACUGUCCCUACCUACUAUCUAGCGAAACCACAGCCAAGGGAACGGGCUUGGCACAAUUAGCGGGGAAAGAAGACCCUGUUGAGCUUGACUCUAGGCACAGAAGCGAGGUGAUUCUAAAGGUGUAGCAUAGGUGGGAGGACCUGGUCCGACCUUGAAAUACCACCACUUUCGACAUUACUUUGCUAAUGCUGUAACGAAUGAACGACCCCUGGGUCGCUCGGCUGCUUAACUGUGGUCAGGCACCUGGUAAGGUCAUAUUCUAGCGCUAUCCUAGCUAGUACGACGGUUUUGCCCCUGCGGGAUAGUACCUUGGGACCGUGAGUUGGGCUUCCGAGUCCGGCAAACGCUGCUUCUGGGGGAACUGCGGAAGGUACGACUGUCCUCUGCUGGCAUCCGGGCUCAUAAGUCGUGUAGCAGACUAUCUGUGUUGGGGAGUUUGGCUGGGGCGGAAAACUGCUACAUGGCAACGGCAGUCUCCUAAGGUCCACUCAGAGACGACAGAAACGUCUCGUAGAGCAUAAAGGCAAAAGUGGGCUUAACUCGCAUUCUCAGUAGUAAUGUGAAGCAAGAAAUUGCGGCUUAACGAUCCUUAACGUCGGGUGCCAGCCCACGUUUGAGGUGAGAGAAAAGUUACCACAGGGAUUGAGGUAAUAGGUGGGGGAAACUGGGGGUAACCUAUCGAGUACUGCAUUCACCGAUCGGGGGAAACCCUGAUAGCCCGGCCGGCCGGUGUUUUGCGGGAAAUAUGGUAGGUUCCUUCGGAGUCCCCCCGGGGUGGACGGUCUCGACUUUCACGCCUUUCUUCCCGGUCACGUAGCCUUAGGACUCCGGUCUUUUGGCUUAGACUGGGGGGGGAAUGCCGGCCGGCGGCGUGGGGUUAGGCUAUCUGUUCCGUUGGAGUCCCAGAGCGCUCGACGCUCUAGUCCCGGUCCGAGGUAGCGCAGGUUCUCGGAUUGGGGCAACGCGCCCGGUUGCUAGCAUGUGUUCCGAAGUGCACCGUCUCCUUCCGGGGGGGCGUGUCGCCUUCUAAGCCUCCAGGUACCAAGCGUUCCGCGGUGAUUCCGUGGCGUGGAGCUUCUCUCCCCCCCCUACCUUCGGGCUGGGGGGGGGGAGCGGCGGGUAAUAAUCUUGGGGGUUAAGGGCCAUCUAGCAGGCUUCAAGGUCACCCAAAGCUCCAGGACCAUAAUGGCGGUCCUGGAUGUAAUGGCAAAGGUGACUGAGGGUCUCAGUGACUGGAAGGGUGUGGGUGCUUCUUGAAAGCUGGAUUGGGCUAUCCUCACGGAAGGCUCUUUCUGGCCGAUUUUGGCGCUUAAGGAACAGUCUCGCCGACGAUGAUCCCAGGAACAACCCACUACUGCAGGAUUCCUGGGAUAAGGGGCUGAGGGGAGGUUACAAAGCGAGGAAACGGCCGGGCUUUCACGGGCUUAGCCAAAGUAAUCCUUUCUUCCCAAUAUGGUCCAUCGGCAAAACAGGGGCUCGCAAGGCCUCCCGCUGUCCUUUCCCCCCGUUCACUCGGGGAGAAUCGGUGGGAGGGGAGUGGGCUCCUAGGGAGUGGCAAAAAGGACCUUCCUCCGUUCAUUCGGGGGGACUACUUUUCAGGGGCAAAACCGAUCGGCUUAGGAGCGAUCACCCGGGAAAACUGGCUUUGGCGGCGAACUGGCUUGUGGCCGCCAAGCGUUCAUAGCGACGUGGC